ensembl:misc_RNA 7SK 7SK RNA
GGAUGUGAGGGUGAUGUGGCUGUGAUGACUGUUCCCCAGCUGAUGGGCAGGGUUGAUUGGGCUGACGUGGCUUGGCGGAUGUCCACUUCCUCCCUCAGUGCUACUGCUUGUGCACUCCUCCGGAAGCUGGGUGCUCCGAGGAGGAUAACCUUCCUUGCUACAGAACAGGUCUUCGGUUAUGGGUAUAAAAGGAGCUGUGCUCCAUGGCUGGAACCUCCAGACAAGUGCUCAUGGCUAUAAUUUAAGAGAUGAAAUCAUGUUUCUUUUCU